rnacentral:rRNA from 1 species
CCUACGGGUGGCAGCAGUGAGGAAUAUUGGUCAAUGGACGAGAGUCUGAACCAGCCACGUAGCGUGAAGGAUGAAUGCCCUAUGGGUUGAAAACUUCUUUUAUAUGGGAAUAAAAUGUUCCACGUGUGUGAUUUUGUAUUUACCAUAUGAAUAAGGAUCGGCUAACUCCGUGCCAGCCGCCGCGGUAAUACGGUGGAUCCGAGCGUUGUCCGGAUUUAUUGGGUUUAAAGGGAGCGUAGGGGGAUUGGUAAGUCAGUUGUGAAAGUUUGCGGCUCAACCGUAAAAUUGCAGUUGAAACUGGCAGUCUUGAGUACAGUAGAGGUAGGCGGAAUUCGUGGUGUAGCGGUGAAAUGCUUAGAUAUCACGAAGAACUCCGAUUGCGAAGGCAGCUCACUGGACUGCAACUGACACUGAGGCUCGAAAGUGUGGGUAUCAAACAGGAUUAGAUACCCCGGUAGUC